rnacentral:rRNA from 1 species
AUACGGAAGGUGCAAGCGUUAAUCGGAAUCACUGGGCGUAAAGCGCUCGUAGGUGGCUUUGUAAGUCAGGUGUGAAAGCCCACGGCUCAACCGUGGAAUUGCACUUGAUACUGCAUUGCUUGAGUUCGGGAGAGGGUAGUGGAAUUCCAGGUGUAGGAGUGAAAUCCGUAGAGAUCUGGAGGAACACCAGUGGCGAAGGCGACUUACUGGUCCAUUACUGACGCUGAUGCUCGAAAGCAUGGGGAGC